rnacentral:lncRNA from 1 species
ACUACAUGGCAAAGGGAAAGAAACCCUAUCAAAAACCUAAAGGAAUUCGGAGCCACUGAAGCCAAAGAGAUAUCUAAGAAGCGAAAAAGGGCAACAACAAAGGGCGGAAGUGGAAGCUGGAGUCCGACAUGGAACGCCUCCUAAUACAGGCAAAAAUGAUCGGGUGGGGGAGUGCUAGCCCGGUCGGAGGGGCCAGAAAGCUCCAGGUCGUACUCCGGAGGAACUCCGUACUGAACCCUU